UGGGGAAUUUUGCACAAUGGGGGAAACCCUGAUGCAGCGACGCCGCGUGAUUUAGAAGGCCUUCGGGUUGUAAAAAUCUUUUCUAUGGGAAGAAAAUGACAGUACCAUAGGAAUAAGGACCGGCUAAUUACGUGCCAGCAGCCGCGGUAAUACGUAAGGUCCGAGCGUUGUCCGGAAUCAUUGGGCGUAAAGGGUACGUAGGCGGGUAAGCAAGUUAGAAGUGAAAUCCUAUAGCUCAACUAUAGUAAGCUUUAAAAACUGCUCAUCUUGAGGUAUGGAAGGGAAAGUGGAAUUCCUAGUGUAGCGGUGAAAUGCGCAGAUAUUAGGAGGAAUACCGGUGGCGAAGGCGACUUUCUGGCCAUAACCUGACGCUGAGGUACGAAAGCGUGGGUAGCAAACAGG
rnacentral:rRNA from 1 species